AAAAGGAUCAAGAGCUGAAAGAAUUCUUUGAAAAACUGGAAGACAGAACAUGUGGAACAGAAAACAUCACAAGGAGUUUGGAGAUAACUAAUGUUUAUCAGCAGCGUGACGCACCAGAAUGCCUGGAGAUGAUUUUACGUAAAAUCAGCCCAAAGGCCUCUGAGGUUUUUGAAGGAAGGCUGAGAUACACAACAAAAUGCUCCCAAGGCCACAUCAUCAUUGAAGAGACGAAUCCAUUCUGGACUCUUCCACUGUCACUGAAAGACACCAGAGGCAAAACCUACAGCGUGGUAAGCAGCCGCUGGUGUAUAAAGGAUCAGUUAUAAGAUAAUGAUGAAC